rnacentral:rRNA from 1 species
UACGUAGGGGGCGAGCGUUGUCCGGAUUCAUUGGGCGUAAAGGGCGCGUAGGCGGCCAGUGCAAGUCAGUUGUGAAAUCUCCGAGCUUAACUCGGAAAGGUCAACUGAUACUGCUCGGCUAGAGUGCGGAAGGGGCAACUGGAAUUCUUGGUGGAGUGGUGAAAUGCGUAGAGAUCCGGAGGAACACCGAAGGCGAAGGCAGUGUCCUGGCGAGUGACUGACGCUGAGGUGCGAAAGCCAGGGGAGCGAACGGG